rnacentral:rRNA from 1 species
GAUAUAUGGAGGAACACCAGUGGCGAAGGCGGCUCUGUGGUCUGAAACUGACGCUGAGGCUCGAAAGCGUGGGUAGCAAAACAAGGAUUAGAUACCCUGGUAGUCCACGCCGUAAACGAUGAGUGCUAAAGUGUUGGAGGGUUUCCGCCCUUCAAUGCUGCAGUUAACGCAUUAAAGCACUCCACCUGGGGAAGUACGACCGCAAGGUUGAAACUCAAAGGAAUUGACGGGGGCCCGCACUAUCGGUGGUGCAUGUGGUGUAAUUAGAAGCGACGCGAAGAACCUUGCCAGGUCUUGACAUCCUUUGACCACCGUAGAAAUAGGGUUUCGCCUUCGGGGGCAAAGUGACAGGUGGUGCAUGGUUGUCGUCAGCCUCGUGUGGUGGGAUGUUGGGUUAAGUGCCGCAAGGAGCGCAACCCUUAUUGUUAAUUUCCAGCAUUGAGUUGGGCGCUGUAGCAAGAGUGACGGUGACAAUCCGGUAGAAGGCGGGGAUGACGUCAAAUCAUCAUGCCCCUUAUGACGUGGACUACACAGGGGGGACAACGGGAAGGACGACGAGCAAGUCAAGCGGCAAGACCUAGCGAAUGUGUGAAAGGUGCUCUCAGUUGGGAGUGCAGGCAGCAACUCGCCGGCAUGAAGCAGGACUCCCUAGGAAUAGCGGAUCAGCAUAAGCGAGGUGAAUCUGGUCGACGUUCCUAGAGCCCGCGGCUGCGCACAACCGGAGAGGUAGGGAGCAACCAAAGGCGGUGGGGCAUCCCAGAGCGGAGCCGGUACACAGACA